UACAAAGCCUUUCCCCCUAAACGUAUGACUAGCUCGCUAGCUUUAGCUAAAGGUCUGCCUUGCUUUGUGGAAGACUCCAUUCAUGCGCAAUGAGGGCAUGGGCAGAUUGCGCGCAGGUAGCCGAGUUUGUAGGUAGACAGACAGGUAGGCCAUCCAAUCAUUUAAUUCAGGCCGAAUUAAAUGAUUGGACAAGCUUAUUACAGGCCUGCUAAAGCCUCAGACAACAGAUUAUUAUUUAUUUGGGUCGGAGCAUUCGAUUUCUUUUGUUUUUUUUCUCCGGAUGACAAAUACAUUGCCUACCCUAGCUUUGAGAUAAAGGUGUGAGUGAAGUUGAAAGCAAACCAAAACCAAACAUGUCGGGACAUGCUUCACAGGGCUGCUUCCCUUCCCUUUCAUUGAGACUUGAGACACUUGCUUCCACUCUUCCUCCACCUGCCGGGUUAAGCUUAUUUAAUUCCAUCACAUCACAUGUUGCUGUCUCAACUAAAUUAACCUUUCAAAAAUGUAUUGAAGCAAAUAUAAAUUGAGCAAGAAAGACUAUUUUGGUUUUGGCCAAACAUGUUUUGUUAGGGAACAGAUUUUGUACGUCUUAUCUGCGGAAAUAAAGGCCCCCUUGUUCUUCCAGGGCUAAGUGUCCAUACCAUAUCACAUUAAUGAAGAGUGAUGAGCAAACGUGUGUGUGUGUGUGUGUGUGUGUGUGUGUGUGUGUUAUCAUUCAUGUUUGUGUGUGAGAGAGAGAACAUUUCAGACCCAGCUAUUUCAUAAAACAUUUAUUUAUACAACGAUUGUCCUAUCGUCGACAUACUACGCGUAAAUGUUAUCAAAGCACAUUAUUUGUGGAGUUAAUGAAAUAAUCAGUGUAGUCUUUGUAGGUUGGGUCAGCAGAAACAGACUCCAUUGAUCCCUAUUGCAAGGCCAUUCGUUUUACAUUGUGUUGUCUAAUGUUUUACUGAGUCUAUGUGGCUUUGCUGUGUGCGGUCUGCCCUAUGAGUCAAAUUAGGCCUGUAGCCUAAUUACAAGUGUGUAAUGGAUGUAUUAAUGGUCUCUGUUCUCUCAUUAGUUGUAUUGAG
ensembl:lncRNA